UGGGGAAUCUUGCGCAAUGGGCGAAACCCUGACGCAGCAACGCCGCGUGAGUGAGGAAGGCCUUCGGGUCGUAAAGCUCUGUCGGGUGGAAAGAAACGUAUAGAUGUUAAUAGCAUUUAUACUUGACGGUACCGCCAAAGGAAGCACCGGCUAACUCCGUGCCAGCAGCCGCGGUAAUACGUAGGGUGCAAGCGUUACUCGGAAUCAUUGGGCGUAAAGGGUGUGUAGGCGGAAUGGUAAGUCAGGUGUGAAAGCCUUGGGCUCAACCCAAGAAGGGCAUUUGAUACUGUCAUUCUAGAAUUCAGGAGAGGAAGAUGGAAUUCCCGGUGUAGAGGUGAAAUCCGUAGAUAUCGAGAGGAACGCCAGAGGCGAAAGCGAGUCACUGGACAGAACCUGACGCUGAGGCACGAAAGCCAGGGGAGCAAACGGG
rnacentral:rRNA from 1 species